rnacentral:rRNA from 1 species
UACGGAGGGCGCAAGCGUUUUUCGGAAUUACUGGGCGUAAAGCGCGUGCAGGCGGUCGAGUAAGUCGGUUGUGAAAGCCCCAGGCUCAACUUGGGAAUUGCAUCCGAAACUGCCCGGCUAGAGUCCCGGAGAGGAAGGCGGAACUCCCAGUGUAGGAGUGAAAUCCGUAGAUAUUGGGAAGAACACCGGCGGCGAAGGCGGCCUUCUGGACGGUGACUGACGCUGAGACGCGAAAGCGUGGGGAGCAAACAGG